AGAGUUUGAUCCUGGCUCAGAACGAACGCUGGCGGCAGGCUUAACACAUGCAAGUCGAGCGCCCCGCAAGGGGAGCGGCAGACGGGUGAGUAACGCGUGGGAAUCUACCCAGCUCUACGGAAUAACCCAGGGAAACUUGGACUAAUACCGUAUACGUCCUUCGGGAGAAAGAUUUAUCGGAGUUGGAUGAGCCCGCGCUGGAUUAGCUAGUUGGUGGGGUAAUGGCCUACCAAGGCGACGAUCCAUAGCUGGUCUGAGAGGAUGAUCAGCCACACUGGGACUGAGACACGGCCCAGACUCCUACGGGAGGCAGCAGUGGGGAAUAUUGGACAAUGGGCGAAAGCCUGAUCCAGCCAUGUCGCGUGAGUGAUGAAGGCCCUAGGGUUGUAAAGCUCUUUCACCGGUGAAGAUAAUGACGGUAACCGGAGAAGAAGCCCCGGCUAACUUCGUGCCAGCCGCCGCGGUAAUU
rnacentral:rRNA from 1 species